UAAUGUUCAAGUGCAAAUUUAAUAUUUUACCAUAAAAUAGUGACUGUGAAAUGCAACUUAUUUAAAACACAACCUGAAAGUGAUUGAUGCGUUUGAAACCAAAUUGAUUGGAUAAGCAGAAAAGCGUAGACAGGUAAGUCGCCAUGCCUAAUGGUUUCAAGUCAGUUUCAAAUAUUAAACUUUCAACGCAGGUAGGCAAAAAAUUCAGCAGAAUACAAACACACACAUCAAAAUCAAAGGCGGCCUGCAAACUCUCACCUGAGCUCGUUGAGCCCAGAGCCUUGAGCCGAUUUGUUUCGGUUCGGUUCGGUUUGGUAUGGUUUCGUUUGGUUUGGUUCAGUUCGGUCGCUUCAGUCACUUAUUGGCAAAUGUUUCGUUGCUGAAAAACGGAGGAAAACUCGAAGGAAAAACGGGGCGGAAUCUGGUGCAGAAAUGCGAAAAAUGUGUAAAUUUGCGCCCGCUUUUAUUUUUCGCAUUUGGCCCGGAUGAUGUGUAGCGGCUGAUCCGCUUUGGCAGCGCUCCCAGACCUCCCGCCAAUCGAUUUCGAUUUGGGAUCGAUGGAGAGUUGGCGCAGCUGUAAACCAUUUAGCCGACGAUGCCGUAGACGUUUAGUAAAUAUUCAAUCAAUUUGGAUGGACAAUAAAUCACCAGGAAAUCAAGAGCGUCUCAAUUUCUCCAAACAGAUAUGCGUCAUAACAAUAAAAAAAAAAAUAGCAUCCCAUUUCCCACACUUUCCCCCCAAAGUGCGGCAAAUAAACAAGACAAGGCGACAGGCCAUAAUAUAUCAUGGCCCCAAGGCGCCUAACGACACGACACGAGGAUGGAGAUGGAGAGUCAGCUUCGAAGGACACUGAUGCGUAAUGGCUGCCAGGGGGAUGACAUCGAUCCAGAGCUUCGUUUCCUUAACUGCAAAUCAAUGACAUAUAUUUACGGCAAAUGCGUUUGCCCGCCGGGGCCACAUCGACGGGAAUAAUAGGUCGGAAUAAAGUAAUAACCCGAAUAAUAGCAUAUGUCGGCGGAGCCAUUACCUGCCGCUAAUUGCCGUACAAACUUCUCCUGUCGCCGCCUAAGCCGGUCGCCAAUUAAAGCCAAACAAACGCUGUCGGAGCGCUAAAAGCCCUCAAUCCGGAUCUCACGGCUCCCGAGAGCCAGCCGCAAUGUAAGUGCGGCUCAUAAUUUAUUUCGAUUACGCCGCAGCACGCAAUUUGCGCCGGGCACAUCCUUUUCGAGCACACGGACACGCACAGGAAGUGAGAUAUCCAGGAGCACCGGCUGUGGAGCGAGUGGAGAGCACCAGGGCCAGAGAUAAGUGUGCGCUGCGCGCAAUUUCCGUUUCCGCUUGGUUUGCCCUUAUCCAGCUCUGAUGCUGCGAAAAUCCACUAAGCAACAAUUAAAUCACAGACUCCCGAGAGCAACUCGUGAAGAUAAAAGCGUAGAAUGCAGCAGAAACAAUGUAAGGAAUCGGCCACGUACAGUAGAACAACUCGAGGCAGCUAUGGGAAGAUGAUGUUUAAAAAUAGUAAAGAUUUUCAUGAAUCGAUUUGGAAUGUCUUACAAUACCCAUACUUAUGUGACAGAUCAAAGUCCGCGCUACAAGAGUCUCACUGUACGCCUCUAGUGACUCAGAGGCAUUAAUUUGAGGAUUGGAGGACAGAAACAAAGACAAAGGCUACCUGAAGUGAAUCAUUCCCAAUCGUUUUCAUGCAGGUAACAAGAGCCCGCCGAGCAUUACCAUUACCAUUAGCUGACUAAUCGGGGCCUUCAAGAGUGGCAGCUCCAGUCCGUGGCACUCCAGAAACACACCAAAAUCGAUUCGCUUUAAGCGUUCGCUCUUUAUGCUUAGAAGUUAUAAAUAUUUAUGGCGCACAUAAUGCAGCGCGUUGAGCUCGGCCAAUAAUUUCUCCGCUUACAGCUCUGCGAUAUCUGGGAUCCCAGGCUAAAUGUCGGGAUGUGUGUGUGUGCUCCAGAUGCAGCGAUGCGAGCAUUUUCCACUGAAGGAUUUAUGCUCGCUGACAUGCAACUUAAAAGCAAGGACAACAGCGGGAGAUAGCACAAGCGGAGGGGGUGUGGAGAGGGGGAUACAGAUGCAAGCAGCGGCAAACUUUCCUUAUGCGGGAUACUUUUCUUGUGCAGUCGGAACAACAAUCGGCGAAGCGAUGCUGAGCACAAGGAUUAGGCCACAAGGAGAAUGGGAGUCAGCAGCAGAAAGGAGCCGAAAUUUAUGUGACUUUUGCAUGUGGGCUGCAGGAUGCAGGAUGUGGCUCGCACUGGCUAGACAUUAGUACAAUUUCCGGUCCAGGCCACAAAAUAUUCAAUAAUAUAUUAAAGAUAUAGCCAGCAACCCGAAAGAGAUAUCACACAAAAGGCAAGGAGCAGAACAGGAACCGGCAGAUACUGGCGCACACCAGCAGGCACGAAUUCGACAACUCAACUGAAGCGUAGCAGGCAGGAUAAAUCUAAAUAAGACGUGCUUCGACUCCGGCCUGGCCUACUCCUAUCCUCUCCCCCGCCUCCAUCUCCUCUAUUCUGCGGCAAGGUAGCUGGAGCAUGCACCAUCAGCCGGAGAAUUUGUGCAAUGAAGUGCAAGUGAACUUAAAGCGUCUAAAGAUACUCCCAACUACCUGACCACACGAGAGAUGAGCGCGUGAGGAGGAUGAAAAUGCGGAGUCCGAGCACGAAUUCCAGGAAUUCAAGAUGCCAAACAAUUUUGA